AUUGAACGCUGGCGGCAGGCCUAACACAUGCAAGUCGAGCGGAGCGGCGGACGGGGGAGUAAUGCCAAGGACUAUGCAUGGUAGUGGUGGAUAACGUACGGUAACGGGCGCUAAUACCGCAUCCUCUCAGAUGAGCCUAGGUCGGAUUAGCUAGAUGGUGGGGUAAAGGCAGACCAAGGGGACGAUCCGUAACUGGUCUGAGAGGAGGAUCAGUCACACGGGAACUGAGACACGGUCCAGACUCCUACGUGAGGCAGCAGUGGGGAAUAUUGGACAAUGGGCGAAAGCCUGAUCCAGCCAUGCCGCGUGUGUGAAGAAGGUCUUCGGAUUGGAAAGCACUUUAAGUUGGGAGGCGUUACCAACAGAAUAAGCACCGGCUAACUUCGUGCCAGCAGCCGCGGUAAUAC
rnacentral:rRNA from 1 species